rnacentral:rRNA from 1 species
CCUACGGGAGGCAGCAGUGAGGAAUAUUGGACAAUGGAUGGAAAUCUGAUCCAGCCAUGCCGCGUGCAGGAAGACUGCCCUAUGGGUUGUAAACUGCUUUUGUAUGGGAGCAAUAAGCCCUUCGUGAAGGGUGAUGAGAGUACCAUACGAAUAAGCAUCGGCUAACUCCGUGCCAGCAGCCGCGGUAAUACGGAGGAUGCAAGCGUCAUCCGGAUUUAUUGGGUUUAAAGGGUGCGUAGGCGGUUGGAUAAGUCAGCGGUGAAAGUUUUCUGCUUAACAGGAAAAAUGCCGUUGAUACUGUCUGGCUAGAAUAUGGUUGCUGUGAGUGGAAUGUGUGGUGUAGCGGUGAAAUGCUUAGAUAUCACACAGAAUAUCGAUUGCGAAGGCAGCUCACAAAGCCAUUAUUGACGCUGAGGCACGAAAGUGUGGGGAUCAAACAGGAUUAGAUACCCUGGUAGUCCACACUGUAAACGAUGAUAACUCGCUGUCGGCGAUACACAGUCGGUGGCCAAGCGAAAGCGAUAAGUUAUCCACCUGGGGAGUACGACCGCAAGGUUGAAACUCAAAGGAAUUGACGG